GACGGGGCCCGCACAAGCGGUGGAGCAUGUGGUCUAAUUCGAUGAUACGCGAGGAACCUUACCUGGGCUCAAAUGUAUGUUGACGUAUUCUGAAAGGGAUACUUCUUCGGACAAUAUACAAGGUGCUGCAUGGUUGUCGUCAGCUCGUGCCGUGAGGUGUCGGGUUAAGUCCCAUAACGAGCGCAACCCCUAUCAUUAGUUGCCAUCAGGUCAAGCUGGGGACUCUAAUGAAACUGCCUACGCAAGUAGUGAGGAAGGUGGGGAUGACGUCAAAUCAGCACGGCCCUUACGUCCAGGGCUACACGCGUGCUACAAUGGCCGGUACAAAGGGCAGCUACCUGGUGACAGGAUGCUAAUCUCAAAAGCCGGUCUCAGUUCGGAUCGGAGUCUGCAACCCGACUCCGUGAAGCUGGAAUCGCUAGUAGUCGCGCAUCAGCCAUGGCGCGGUGAAUACGUUCCCGGGCCUU
rnacentral:rRNA from 1 species